GCCAUCCCAAAUACGAAAGUUUUCACUCUUUAGUUUCCAAGGGGAAAGAAACAAAGCGGUGCCUUAAAGGAGAGGAAAUGAGGAUGACUUUGAAAUGAACCAGGAGCAGAACAGCUGUGGUGGAGACCGCUCCAAAGAUCACUUUAAACACAGUUUCAGUGGUUCAUGGCUUUCUUCGUGUGACAGAAUUGAACCCUGCUCAUCAUCCACAGGUUCAGCCUCACAGCCUCCUCAAAGCCACACAAGGUUGUUGCAGCCUAGAAGUGUUUGUAAAGCUGCAGCACGAUGAACUUCAUGGUGUUUGGCAUUGUAUAGAUACUUGGUUAUCUUAAACUGUACAGCUCUGUUGCAUCUGGGAAGGAAAACACAAGGAUAAAGGUCGCUACAACCAAAAAAUAGCUUUUAAGCCCUGCUGUUCCACCUUUAGCAGUGGAGGAGCAGUGACUCAAUUGAAUUAGGGCCCAAAUGAGAACAACAACAAUGAUCCUCCUUUUCUGUUCUUGUGUUGAUCCUCUCCUGCUGCUUUUAGAAGAUGACAGAAUAGGUCCUGGUACAGAGGGCUGCCUCAGGGUUCAGGGGUUUGCACCACAUUCCUGUUAGGACAGGUAGAGAGCAUGAGUUUGGGAAGUCCCAAGCUCGAACCACAGACAUGCUUGUAGGUUCUGCCAUUGAUUUCGAUGGCAGUAUUCUGAUACUGAAAAGUGCACUUGGACUUAAGAGUUUUGCUCAAAGAGGACCUCCCUGCUGAAGUUGCUAAUGGUGCCACUGGGCUGGAGAUGAGACUCAAAGUAAUACCGAGUUUGGCAAUCAUUUUGGAAAGCUGCCCUCUCCUGUGUCAAGGUGCAGCUGCUUUUUAUCCAGCCAUAGGCUCAAUGUGACACAAUUGGAGUCUUGCAGAGUAGAGAGUUGGUUUCAAACAGAUAUGCCAAGGCUCUGUAAUGCAGGUCUAGUUCUUAGAGAAAAAUACAUAUCUUCUCCUCCUUUAAACCAAAGUCUGAUGGGGUUUGCACCUACCAAGACACAGUUGUUUUGUUUAGGUUUCUCUGUUGUAUGCAGCUUGACAUUUGGCCUAGGCUCAGUGUUGUUGCUCCUGGUUUUUCUCUGGGGAAACCAAGGCACCAUGUGGUAGAAAGACCUGUGUGAAGCCAUGUAAAUGGUAAGUGCCAUUAACUACAGGAUGUCUGCUGGUGUUAACAGCUUAAUAGAAUCAUAGAGUCAUAGAAUCGCUCAGGUUGGAAAAGACCUUAAAGAUCAUCGAGUCCAACCACA
ensembl:lncRNA